AUCUUUCUAGUAUUAACUUAGUAUAAGUGACUUCCAAUCACCCGGCCCUGGUUAAAAUCCAGGGAAAGAUA
rnacentral:tRNA from 1 species